GGGCCCAUAGCUCAGCGGUAGAGCGUCCGGCUCAUAACCGGCUGGUCGCAGGUUCGAAUCCUGCUGGGCCCACCA
rnacentral:tRNA from 8 species